AGUGAACGCUGGCGGUAGGCCUAACACAUGCAAGUCGAACGGCAGCACAGGAGAGCUUGCUCUCUGGGUGGCGAGUGGCGGACGGGGGAGGAAUACAUCGGAAUCUACUCUGUCGUGGGGGAUAACGUAGGGAAACUUACGCUAAUACCGCAUACGACCUACGGGUGAAAGCAGGGGACCUUCGGCCCUUGCGCGAUUGAAUGAGCCGAUGUCGGAUUAGCUAGUUGGCGGGGUAAAGGCCCACCAAGGCGACGAUCCGUGGCUGGUCUGAGAGGAUGAUCAGCCACACUGGAACUGAGACACGGUCCAGACUCCUACGGGAGGCAGCAGUGGGGAAUAUUGGACAAUGGGCGCAAGCCUGAUCCAGCCAUACCGCGUGGGUGAAGAAGGCCUUCGGGUUGUAAAGCCCUUUUGUUGGGAAAGAAAUCCAGCUGGCUAAUACCCGGUUGGAAUGACGGUACCCAAAGAAUAAGCACCGGCUAACUUCGUGCCAGCAGCCGCCGUAA
rnacentral:rRNA from 1 species